GAUGAACGCUGGCGGCAUGCCUAACACAUGCAAGUCGGACGGGACUUUCUUCUUCCAUUGUCGGACUGGAUUGUAACGCGUAGGAACGUGCGGUUGAGAAGGGAAUAACUGAUGUAAACGGCUGCUAAGACCACGAAGGCUGAGGAGCAAAAGAUAGAAUCCACCUGUGGAGGCGGUCGCGCCUCAUAAGCUAGUUGGUGCGGCGAUAGCUUACCAAGGCGAGGAUCCAUAGCUGACCCGAGAGGGUGAUGAGCCACACUGGGACUGCGACACGGCCCAGACUCGUACGGGAGGCAGCAGUAGGGAAUCUUGGGCAAUGGGCGAAAGUCUGAUCCAGCAAUGCCGCGUGGGUGAAGAAGGUUUUCGGGUGGUAAAGCACUGUUGUUAGGGAAGAUGAACGUCGUUUCCAACUGAAGAUGCAAUGACGGUAUCUAACGAAUAAGCAACGGCUAACUCCGUG
rnacentral:rRNA from 1 species